GGCUGUGGCUCAGGGGUAGAGAGCUUGCCAACCAUGCACGAAGCCCUGGGUUUGACCCCCAGCACUGCCA
rnacentral:tRNA from 1 species